AGGGAAAUCUGAGAGCCUCCUUCCAGC
rnacentral:piRNA from 1 species